rnacentral:rRNA from 1 species
AACGAACGCUGGCGGCGUGGAUAAGACAUGCAAGUCGAGCGGGAACUUUCGCUGUAGCAAUACAGUGAAAGUUCUAGCGGCGAACGGGUGCGUAACACGUGGACAAUCUGCCUUAAAGUGGGGAUAGCUCGGCGAAAGCCGAAUUAAUACCGCAUGUGAUGAGAGACGACAUCGUCUUGAAAUCAAAGCCGGGGCGAACCUGGCGCCUUUUGAGGAGUCCGCGGCCAUCAGCUAGUUGGUGAGGUAACGGCCCACCAAGGCUAUGACGGGUAGGCUGGUCUGAGAGGACGACCAGUCACACUGGAACUGAGACACGGUCCAGACACCUACGGGUGGCAGCAGUCGAGAAUUUUUUGACAAA